rnacentral:rRNA from 1 species
UACGUAGGGGGCAAGCGUUGUUCGGAAUUACUGGGCGUAAAGGGCGCGUAGGCGGCACAGCAAGUCGGGAGUGAAAGCCCGGGGCUCAACCCCGGAACUGCUUUCGAAACUGCUGAGCUAGAGUACAGAAGGGGCAACCGGAAUUCCCAGUGUAGCGGUGAAAUGCGUAGAUAUUGGGAAGAACACCUGAGGCGAAGGCGGGUUGCUGGGCUGAUACUGACGCUGAGGCGCGAAAGCCAGGGGAGCAAACGGGAUUAGAUACCCCGGUAGUCCUGGCCCUAAACGAUGGAUACUUGGUGUGUGGGGUUCUCUGAGUCCCCGCGUGCCGGAGCUAACGCGGUAAGUAUCCCGCCUGGGGAGUACGGUCGCAAGGCUGAA